GUUUGAUCAUGGCUCAGGAUGAACGCUGGCGGCGUGCUUAACACAUGCAAGUCGAACGGGAAACCUUUUAUUGAAGCUUCGGCAGAUUUAGAUUGUUUCUAGUGGCGGACGGGUGAGUAACGCGUGGGUAACCUGCCUUAUACAGGGGGAUAACAGUCAGAAAUGACUGCUAAUACCGCAUAAGCGCACAGAGCUGCAUGGCUCGGUGUGAAAAACUCCGGUGGUAUAAGAUGGACCCGCGUUGGAUUAGCUAGUUGGUGAGGUAACGGCCCACCAAGGCGACGAUCCAUAGUCGGCCUGAGAGGGUGAACGGCCACAUUGGGACUGAGACACGGCCCAGACUCCUACGGGAGGCAGCAGUGGGGAAUAUUGCACAAUGGGGGAAACCCUGAUGCAGCGACGCCGCGUGAAGGAAGAAGUAUCUCGGUAUGUAAACUUCUAUCAGCAGGGAAGAAAAUGACGGUACCUGACUAAGAAGCCCCGGCUAACUACGUGCCAGCAGCCGCGGUAAUACGUAGGGGGCAAGCGUUAUCCGGAUUUACUGGGUGUAAAGGGAGCGUAGACGGAUGGACAAGUCUGAUGUGAAAGGCUGGGGCUCAACCCCGGGACUGCAUUGGAAACUGCCCGUCU
rnacentral:rRNA from 1 species